CGGAGGAAAAGAAAUUAACAAAGAUUCCCUCAGUAACGGCGAGUGAAGUGGGAAGUAGCCCAGCACCGAAUCCUCGCGGCCUCGCGCCGUGCGGACCUGUGGUGUUUGGGGCCCCGGCUUUCGUCCAGCGUUCGCGCACCUCAGUCGCAUUGAAGGGGCUCUCGCUCCAGAGCGGGUGUCAGGCCCUUGUGGCUGCGCGACCGGGCGAAGGUUCCAGGGGACCCUCGAGUCGGGUUGUUUGAGAGUGCAGCCCAAAGACGGUGGUAAGCACCAUCGAAGGCUAAAUAUGUCCACGAGUCCGACAGCGAACAAGUACCGUGAGGGAACGUUGAAAAGGACUUCUGAGUGAGAGUUCAAAGCAGUCGGCGAUGCCGGCACGUGGGCGAACGUCCUCGC
rnacentral:rRNA from 1 species